GCUAAACGCGAAGAACCUUACCUGGCCUUGACAUCCAUGGAAUCCCGAAGAGAUUUGGGAGUGCCGCAAGGAACCAUGAGACAGGUGCUGCAUGGCUGUCGCCAGCUCGUGUCGUGAGAUGUUGGGUUAAGUCCCGUAACGAGCGCAACCCUUAUCCUUAUUUGCCAGCGAGUUAAGUCGGGAACUUUAAGGAGACUGCCGGUGACAAACCGGAGGAAGGUGGGGAUGACGUCAAGUCAUCAUGGCCCUUACGACCUGGGCUACACACGUGCUACAAUGGCGCGCACAGAGGGCCGCAACCCCGCGAGGGUGAGCAAAUCCCACAAAACGCGUCGUAGUCCGGAUUGGAGUCUGCAACUCGACUCCAUGAAGUCGGAAUCGCUAGUAAUCGUGAAUCAGAAUGUCACGGUGAAUACGUUCCCGGGUCUUGUACACACCG
rnacentral:rRNA from 1 species